rnacentral:rRNA from 1 species
CAGUCGCCGCGGUAAUACGUAGGGUGCGAGCGUUAAUCGGAAUUACUGGGCGUAAAGCGUGCGCAGGCGGUUUUGUGAGACAGGCGUGAAAUCCCCGGGCUCAACCUGGGAAUGGCGCUUGUGACUGCAAAGCUAGAGUGCGGCAGAGGGGGAUGGAAUUCCGCGUGUAGCAGUGAAAUGCGUAGAUAUGCGGAGGAACACCGAUGGCGAAGGCAAUCCCCUGGGCCUGCACUGACGCUCAUGCACGAAAGCGUGGGGAGCAAACAGGAUUAGAUACCCCCGUAGUCCCUGUCUCUUAUAC